rnacentral:piRNA from 1 species
UCCGCGCCACCACUGGAGAGCCACGU